rnacentral:lncRNA from 1 species
GUCCGCCCCGCCUCUCCUCUCCCGGGAGAGGCCGGGACGCGCCCACUCGGCAUAGCCUUAAAGGGCUCGCUCUUCCGGAGCGCACCCUGAGAGAGACGUCGGACAAGCCUGGGAAUGAUCACCCUUCUCCCGAAACGCAGAGACUCUAACGGGAACUCCUGACCCCGCUUACUCACCUACAACCAGAUAUUCCCCCUGCUUUCUGCGCCCAGGUUUCUCCUCCGGCUGUGGAGGGCGGGGGUCCCCUAGGCCCUUGGGACUUGGGCGUGGCUUACCAUCGCAGCCGUGGUGUGAACUGUAUCGUGCCCAGGCUCCAAUGCGCCCUGUGCUUUGAACUGGGGGCUUCCUAGGGCUUGAGGCUGCUUGAGGCUGUGCUCGUACCCCAGGGAACCGGCAGCGUUGGAACUCCGCGGCGCUGUUGCGGCUCUUGCCCCAUCCUCCAUCCCUGUGCCAAUCAGGGACUUCCUUCUAGGCCGCCUGCAUACAGUGCGAACAUAAGUAUACCCCCCUUCGCACAUUUAUUGAGCUCCUGUUGCGUGCAGAGCUUAUACAUCACACAUCUGUGACGGGCCCCUCAGUCAGGCGACGGCUCCGAGCCGCGAACACAGCCAAGAGCACCGGACCUCAGCCGAUCCUCCAAGUCCCAGCCCCUAUGACUCUCCCAACUCGGUUCCGUGACUAGAACCUGCAGCCCGGAGACUCGGAACUUUGGGCAGCCACGUGGGCGCGGGAUUCCGACAUGGGUCGCUCGUCCACAGCAACUCAACCCUAGAAGUCGCAUUUAGGGAGCCCAUGACUCUGAAGUUGACCCUGGCCUGACUAACCCUCUAACCCUCGCUCGAUCCAGGCUGAAACAUCUAGAUUUGCGGAGCGCGGGAAAGUGCCUGGAUUCCAGCGCAUCUGUAUGGCACCCGGGUCUGCGUCCACGCGGGCCUCCACGGCGCGCUUGGCCUGGCUCAGCCCCUGCAUCUACAAAAGACGCCGGUCCUUUGGAUCGCGAUGCAGUCAACAGCAGCUCCCCUAGCAGGUUUCUGUGCUGGGUUCACUGUAGACGCUCACGCCUCUUCUGAGAGCAGUUGGGAUAGAGGGUAUUUGGGGGAGGGCCGGGUAUUGGACGCCUCUCCCUCUGAGGGCCCCACAGGACCCCUGGCAGCGGUGCAAAGCCGGGCCGGAAGACAGCCGUGCCUCCCUCCGGGUCCAGGCCCAGCGUGGCUGGCUGUGGAUCAAAGAGCUAGGCCAUGCUUCCCUGUGUUCAGAUCCUAUCUGUGCCCGCCCAGCCGGGUGUCUCGGAC